UCCCGGGUAGCUCAGCGGUAGAGCGGCCGGCUGUUAACCGGUUGGUCGCAGGUUCGAAUCCUGCCCCGGGAGCCA
rnacentral:tRNA from 2 species